UACGGGGGGAGCAAGCGUUGUCCGGAAUCACUGGGCGUAAAGGGCGUGUAGGCGGCCACAUAAGUCAGAUGUGAAAGGUCUCGGCUUAACCGGGGAAGUGCAUUUGAAACUGUGUGGCUUGAGUGCGAGAGGGGGUAGUGGAAUUCCCAGUGUAGCGGUGAAAUGCGUAGAUAUUGGGAAGAACACCAGUAGCGAAGGCGGCUACCUGGCUCGUAACUGACGCUAAGGCGCGAAAGCGUGGGGAGCAAACAGG
rnacentral:rRNA from 1 species